GCGGCAGUAGCUCAGCUGGUAGAGCGCCACCUUGCCAUGGUGGAGGUCGCGGGUUCGACUCCCGUCUGCCGCUC
rnacentral:tRNA from 3 species